rnacentral:rRNA from 1 species
UACGUAGGGGGCAAGCGUUGUCCGGAAUCAUUGGGCGUAAAGAGCGUGUAGGCGGUCCGGUAAGUCGGCUGUGAAAAUCCAGGGCUUAACCCUGGACCUGCAUUCGAUACGGGCAGACUAGAGUUCGGUAGGGGAGACUGGAAUUCCUGGUGUAGCGGUGAAAUGCGCAGAUAUCAGGAGGAACACCGGUGGCGAAGGCGGGUCUCUGGGCCGACAUUGACGCUGAGGAGCGAAAGCUAGGGGAGCAAACGGG